rnacentral:rRNA from 1 species
UUAUUGGAGAGUUUGAUCCUGGCUCAGGACGAACGCUGGCGGCGUGCCUAACACAUGCAAGUCGAACGGGGAGUUAGCAAUAACUCCUAGUGGCGAACG